rnacentral:tmRNA from 1 species
GGGGGCGUUUAUGGAUUCGACGGGGAUAGUUUGAGCAUGGGUAGCGGGUAGUGGGGACGCGUCCGCUUUAUCAACGCUAAAGCCUAUUAAAUGGCAAAACACAAAACAACUACGCUUUCGCAGCCUAAGAAACUGUGAGCGUGCUCCUACCUAGCAUCGUCCAUGUGACUAGACUAGGGGCUAACCAAUAGUGGAAUACGCUGUCUCAUCUCCGCCUGGGGUGAGCUGAAGAAGAUAAUCAGGCUGACCCAACGUAUAGCCGGUUACGGGGCGAUACUCGGGUGACAUCAAAACUGUGACUACACCCGUAGAAUCUUAUGUGUCGAUAUUUUCGGACAGGGGUUCGACUCCCCUCGCCUCCAUAU